GAAACGACUGCUAAGACUGGAUAGGAAAAGUAAAGGCAUCUUUACUUUUUUAAAUAGACCUUCUUCGGAAGGUAUGCUUAAGGAGGGGCUUGCGGCACAUUAGUUAGUUGGCAGGGUAAAGGCCUACCAAGACUAUGAUGUGUAGCUGGACUGAGAGGUUGAACAGCCACAUUGGGACUGAGACACGGCCCAAACUCCUACGGGAGGCAGCAGUAGGGAAUUUUCGGCAAUGGAGGAAACUCUGACCGAGCAACGCCGCGUGAACGAUGAAGUACCUCGGUACGUAAAGUUCUUUUAUUAAGGAAGAAAAAAGAGUGGAAAAACUCCCUUGACGGUACUUAAUGAAUAAGCCCCGGCUAAUUAUGUGCCAGCAGCCGCGGUAAUACAUAAGGGGCGAGCGUUAUCCGGAAUUAUUGGGCGUAAAGGGUGCGUAGGCGGUUUAAUAAGUCUAUAGUUUAAUUUCAGCGCUUAACGCUGUUGUGCUAUAGAAACUGUUUUACUAGAGUGAGAUAGAGGCAAGCGGAAUUCCAUGUGUAGCGGUAAAAUGCGUAAAUAUAUGGAGGAACACCAGAGGCGUAGGCGGCUUGCUGGGUCUUUACUGACGCUGAGGCACGAAAGCGUGGGGAGCAAACAGGAUUAGAUACCCUGGUAGUCCACGCCGUAAACGAUGAGUACUAAGUGUCGGGUAAAACCGGUACUGAAGUUAACACAUUAAGUACUCCGCCUGAGUAGUACGUACGCAAGUAUGAAACUUAAAGGAAUUGACGGGACUCCGCACAAGCGGUGGAUCAUGUUGUUUAAUUCGAAGAUACACGAAAAACCUUACCAGGUCUUGACAUAUUCUUGCGAAGUUAUAGAAAUAUAAUGGAGGUUAUCAGGAAAACAGGUGGUGCAUGGUUGUCGUCAGCUCGUGUCGUGAGAUGUUAGGUUAAGUCCUAAAACGAGCGCAACCCUUGUCGUUAAUUGCCAGCAUGUAAUGAUGGGGACUUUAACGAGACUGCCAAUGAAAAAUUGGAGGAAGGUGGGGAUUACGUCAAAUCAUCAUGCCCCUUAUGAUCUGGGCUACAAACGUGAUACAAUGGUUGAUACAAAGAGUAGCUGAAACGCGAGUUCUUAGCCAAUCUCAUAAAAUCAAUCUCAGUUCGGAUUGAAGUCUGCAACUCGACUUCAUGAAGUUGGAAUCGCUAGUAAUCGUGAAUCAGCAUGUCACGGUGAAUACGUUCUCGGGGUUUGUACACACCGCCCGUCA
rnacentral:rRNA from 1 species